GAUGAAGAACGUAGCGAAAUGCGAUACGUAAUGUGAAUUGCAGAAUUCAGUGAAUCAUCGAAUCUUUGAACGCACAUUGCGCCUGCCAGCACUCUGGCAGGCAUGGCUGUUCGAGCGUCAUUUCAACCAUCAAGCCCUAGGCUUGCGUUGGAGCCCUGCGGCUGCCGCAGGCCCCUAAAAGCAGUGGCGGGCUCGCUAUCACACCGAGUGCAGUAGAUUACUCUUCGCUCAGGGCGUGUGGCGGGUUCCAGCCGUGAAACCCCCUACUUCUCAAGGUUGACCUCGGAUCAGGUAGGAAUACCCGCUGAACUUAAGCAUAUCAAUAAGCGGAGGA
rnacentral:misc_RNA from 1 species